rnacentral:rRNA from 1 species
GAUGAACGCUGGCGGCGUGCCUAAUACAUGCAAGUCGAGCGAACAGAUAAGGAGCUUGCUCCUUUGACGUUAGCGGCGGACGGGUGAGUAACACGUGGGUAACCUACCUAUAAGACUGGAAUAACUCCGGGAAACCGGGGCUAAUGCCGGAUAACAUUUAGAACCGCAUGGUUCUAAAGUGAAAGAUGGUUUUGCUAUCACUUAUAGAUGGACCCGCGCCGUAUUAGCUAAUUGGUAAGGUAACGGCUUACCAAGGCAACGAUACGUAGCCGACCUGAGAGGGUGAUCGGCCACACUGGAACUGAGACACGGUCCAGACUCCUACGAGAGGCAGCAGUAGGGAAUCUUCCGCAAUGGGCGAAAGCCUGACGGAGCAACGCCGCGUGAGUGAUGAAGGUCUUCGGAUCGUAAAACUCUGUUAUUAGGGAAGAACAAAUGUGUAAGUAACUGUGCACGUCUUGACGGUACCUAAUCAGAAAGCCACGGCUAACUACGUG